CCUAAGACUGGAGUCCCAGAGGCUUUUUAUCUUUAAUGAAAGUGCACCUGUAAAUGAUUGUGUAUCACCAUCCAUUUUCACCCUUAUGUGGCUGAUGAGUGAGUGAAAUGGAGGUUCAUUAAAAAUAAAAGCAAAGCAAUUAGAAGAGCUGCAACACAAAGAUCAACACCCAUUAUCAAACAGAGGAAACGGUGGGCUAAAAGAAGUAUUUGCUUUUCAGCUAGUUUCACUCUACUGCAGGCUAUGAAAUGAUAAUCUCUGCUUAUUUUUUUUUUUUUUCAGUAAAUGUCAGCCAUGUCAUUUCUGUUUACAGAUGAGUGCAUCUCAGUCUGGAAAUGUUUAUUCUCUGCCUCUAUUAUAGAAAGAAAAAGAUUUUUCUGGCUUGCCUCUGGGAAAGCAAUAUUGUCCGCAUUUGUAUUCUGAGCCAGACUAAAGGAAGAAGCAUUGAAACAGGGAAUUGCUCUAUGUUUCUGAUUGGACUGCAGCUUUGGGAGCUGCAGCGGGUUUCAUGCAAACAAAAAAAGAGCGAGCAAGUGAGAGAGAUUAUCUACUUCUCUACCGUGGGAGAAAGCCUAUGAAUUCAUAAAUGUGCCUGGUAUAAAUUAGAAAAAAAAAGUUGGACAAAUGGUCAUAAGGAACAAGAUACAUGACAAUCACAAUGGAGGAAAUUCUGGUGUGCCCAGUCUUUCACCGAGCCAGCGUUAGAGCCACUGCAAGUUACUUCAUCAUUCUCUGGAAUAUCUCUUCUCCAAAGGUCUGCCCCCUUGAUUAUCUCAAGGUGACAAAAUAAUAAUAAGUUUCCUAAAAACAGUUGUUUGAAUAUAUGCCUUUUCUAAACAAGUUUGUAAGAAAAUGAAAUGGGAACUUUAAAACAACUUACUUCAUGAUACACAAAUAUAAGAUUGCUUUGUUGGAAAGGAUCCUGGUCAAAGUUUUCAAAUUCAGUGUUACAUUGUCAAAUGUCUUUAAUGAAGAAAGACUUUGUCUAAAACAAAUGGUAGACAACUGGAUAUGUGAAAAUUAUUCACAUAUUCAUAUAAUUCACAUAUUUACAGCUAGAUUUUAACUCAUUAUUAUUAAUUAACUCACUAAUAUUAAUUAACUCAGGUUGCUUGGAGAAAUAUCAAUAACCUCAGAUAUGCAGAUCACACCACCCUUAUGGCAGAAAGCAAAGAACUAAAGAGCCUUUUGAUGAAAGUGAUAGAGGAGAGUGAAAAUGUUGGCUUGAAACUCAACAUUCAGAAAACUAAGAUCAUGGCAUCUGGUCCCAUCACAUCAUGGCAAAUAGAUGGGAAAGCAAUGGAAACAGUGACAGACUUUAUUUUUGGGGAGCUCUGAAAUCACUGCCGAUGUUCAAUGCAAUCAUGACAUUAACAGACGCUUGCUCCUUGGAAGAAAAGUUAUGACCAACCUAGACAGCAUAUUUAAAAGCACAGACAUUACUUUCCCAACAAAAGUCCGUCUAGUCAAAGCUACGUUUUUUUUCCAGUAGUCAUGUAUGGAUGUAGAGUUGGACCAUAAAGAAAGCUGAGUGCCAAAGAACUGGUGCUUUUGAACUGUGGAGAAGACUCUUGAGAGUCCCUUGGACUGCAAGGAGAUCCAACCAGUCCAUCCUAAAGGAAGUCAGUCCUGAAAAUUCACUGGAAGGACUGAUGUUAAAGCUGAAAUGCCAAUGCUUUGUUCACCUGAUGUGAAGAAGUGACUCAUUUGAAAAGACCCUGAUGGUGGGAGGAGAAGGGGAUGACAGAGGAUGAGCUGGUUGGAUGGCAUCACUGACUCAAUGGACAUGAGUUUGAAUGAACUCCAGGAGUUGGUGAUGGACAGAGAGGCCUGGCGUGCUGCAGUCCAUGGGGUUACAAAGAGUCGGACACCACAGAGCUACUGAACUGAACCGAUUAGCUCAUUGUUUAAUCUUGAUGACAUGAGCAAUUAGUUUAGUAAAUUUUUUCUUGCAUUUUUGGAUCACUCUCUAUCAACAACUACAAGCCACAAGGUGCAAUUCUUUUGUGCUUAACAAAAUUAUGACAAUGAAAUAAAUUUGGAUAGUUGAAUAUACCACUAUUGUCUUCAAGCCUAUGAGUUACCUAACACUCUUUAUGUGUGAUGAUAAUUUACGUACCAGCAAUGAUAGAGUAAAAAUCAUCAAUUCACCUUCAUCACUAAAUAUGUCCCUAAGAGGCAAAAUCAAACUGAUUAGUGGAUCAGAGACAUUUUUAGUUUAUUUACUACACAAGUAAUAUUAUGCCAAAUCACUUCAUUAGACAUCUCUCCUUGGUAGUGCUCCA
rnacentral:lncRNA from 1 species